AGUCAUGGAAACCUGACUUCCAGGAUACUUAAGUAUAUGUUCUACUACCCUUAAAGAAAAUACAUAACUUACUUUUUUUUUUUUUCGAGACAGAGUCUCACUCUGUUGCCCAGGCUGGAGUGCAGUGGGGCAGUCACAGCUCACUGCAGCCUUGACCUCUCUGGGCUCAGGUGAUGCUCCCACCUGAACCUUGGAGGUAGCUGGAAUAACUACAGGCACAUGCCACUACACUACCUAAUUUUUGUGUGUUUUGUAGAGACAGGGUUUCACCAUGUUGCCCACACUGGUCUGGAAGUACUGGUCUCCAGCGAUCUGCCUGCCUUAGCCUCCCGAGGUGCCUGGAUUACAGGAAGGUUUUCCAGAGAAACCUGAUGACCUUCUAUUUGAGAUAUCAGGUAUUCUUGAUUUAUUUGUUUUUCUCCCUCUUCAAUGUAAACAAUCAGAAUUGAAGUGUCAUUUACUGAGAUACCAAUUUUUUUCAAAGCCUCUGAAAUAUUGUUAUUUGGGGAAAGGUUGUACAUAAUUUCAGUAGAUAGAGUUCUUGUCUUCAUUUUUCCCAGUUUGUAGAGGUGAACUGCUUUAUUUGCUGCCACAGGUAUCUGUACUGGAUCCACAAUCACUGUAAAAUUUAUCAGUGAUCCAUCGAUGUUCCCUUCCAUGGCCUUCCUUCUCAAGUCUCCUGCAUUUUUGACAUCUUUAAAUAACAGAAAGGUCACCCUGCAUUUAGGAAAUAGGUCCAGCUGAUGUGUUAACUGCAUUUCACAGACAAGCAGGAUUCUAUAUCUGGUCCCCAGUGUGUCUCAGAAGAUCUCUUACAAAUUAAUCUUAAGAUAGACAAUUUAGAGGACAAUUCAAGGAACACCAGUACCGAAGCUCAAUUAGUGACUCUUACCAGGAAAUGUUAACCGCUCUUCUCUGCUAAAUCUAAUUUGGGUUUCCCGUAAAUGUGAGUAGAAUUAACUCACCCUGAACCUUUACUAUUUGAGAUAAGUUGCAGUGAGCUGAGUUUGUGCCACUGCCCUCCAGCCUGGGUGACAGUGCAAGACAAGACUCCAACUUAAAGAAAAAAAAAAAAAAGUCAGCAGUACUCAUUCCCUAGCUCCUUGUCCUCCAAAUUAUUCAUAAAAACCCUCACCUCUAAGCCUUUGGGCAGACUGAUUUGAGUGAUGACUCCAAUUCUUCUGCGUUGGCUGACCUUGUGUCCAUUAAACUCUCUACUGAAAUGCUCCAAAACCAAUCUCAGUGAAUUGAUUUUGUCUGUGCAGUGAGCAGGAAGAACUCACCAAGCAAAUAUAACCCCAUCACGUCAUCUUUCCACGUCAGUUCAACCAAAAGAAUGAUUUCGCUUUUGGUAAACUGCUGUGGCCAGGUCUUUCAGAAGCCACCUCUAACAACUGAAGUUUAAAUAAUUUGAGGAAAGUCUUUAGUGAGUUUGAAUUUCAAGGAUCAAAGAUAAUAGGUCUCUUAAAGUCCCUCUCAUCUCUGUUGAGCUGUCACCAAGCUGAUAGCUCAGACACUCUUAGCCUCUCUUUUCUGUCUUUUUCAUUCUCUCUGUUUGUAGCUUUGUAUUCUGUCUCUCUCUCUUUUCCCCCAUCUCCAGUUUUCAGAAUAUGAUAUUUGUUUCUUUUCCUUUGGUGAUUAUCCUGUGAUUGUCUGUUUCUACUUUCUGUGCCCAUCCUGCUGUACUUCCUCCUGUCCCUCCCAUUAAACAGAUAAACAAAUAUUUAUUGAGCUUCUACUUUAUAUUAGCCUCUGUGCUAAAUUCUGGAUAUCUAACUAAAAAUAAAACAAAUAUGAUUCUUGCCCUUAUUUGGAUACAAGGUGCUUGCAUUUCCCCUUUUCUUCAGCUUGUCUGCUUUUUCAUUCUACUCUUCCAAAUUCAAAAUUGGGUAUAAUGUGAAAUUAAAAUUUUAUUUUUUAUUUUGUUUUAUUUUAUUCUGUUUUUGAGAUGAAGUCUUGCUCUCUCACCCAGGCUGGAGUGCUGUGGCAUGAUCUCGGCUCACUGCAGUCUCCACCUCCCAGGUUCAAGCAAUUCUCCUGCCUCAGCC
ensembl:lncRNA